UGAGUGCUGGGAUUAUAGGCAAGGUUUCUUGUUUAAUCUGGAGCUCACAGAGUCAGCUAUACUUGCUGGCCAACACCAGGGAUCCUCUGGUCUCUACCUCUUCAGUGCUAGGAUUAUAGACCCCGUUGUUAUUCACCUGUCCAGUGAGUCGGUGUGAUAGAGGCUUCCUUUACUUAUGAAUCAUCUGUAAAAGCCAAUUUGACAGCUGGAUUGGUCUGCAGUUCAGUGGUGAGAACUUGUCCAGUGUGUGCAAGGGUCCAGAUUAGAACCCCAGCCCUGGAAAAAAAGUAUGUCUGAUCUAUAACUAUGUUGUAAUUAUUAGGUGGUAUAUACCCUAUGUCUUUUUGUUUUUUGGAGGUGGGUUUCAGUUAGUCCCCAACUGGUCCCAAACUUGCCGUGUCCUCAAGGAUGUCAAGGAUGACCUUGAACUCUGGGUUCUCUUGCUCAUCCUCCUGAGUGAGUUUAGUUAUGGGUGGGUACCACCAUGCCUCUUUGCUUUUUUUAUUAUUUUCUCUAUGUUUGUGUAACAAGGUCUCACUCUAGUGGAGGCUGGUCCUGAACUUGCAAUGGUUCUUCGGAAUCAGCCUCCCAAACACUGAGUUCUAGGCAUAAGUCACCAUGUCCUGCACUUCCUACUUCUUAAUAAUCUCUGUAGCUUAGCCCUGCUCCCCCUACAGCACCUUCAGUGUUCUACAGCUCAGAGAGCCUAUCAGGAGAGAGGUCAAAGUCUGGUUCUGGCACUUGCACCCUGUGUCAACUUGGACAAGUUAUAGUUGUCAUCAAGCCUCCAUUGCUUCUUCAAAAAGGAUGCACCAUGAGCGGCCCCUCCCGCGGACUGCACUUCGAUCUCAAAUCCAGCCUUCAAGCUUUGUCUUCACACGUCCCAGAACUGGCCAGCUUCCUGAAUAGCCCCUUCUAACUUCCUGAUAGUAACGGAGGACAACGGCCUGCAAGGGGGUCCACGGAGCUGGACACAAGCUCUUUUACCCAGUCUGAGUUCAGCCGGAAAGCCAGACCUCAGACAGGAGGGAGGAAAAAUUAUUAAAGGAUUAAGUCUAGAAUAAUCCUCUACAUCCCAGGAGGCUCAGAAAGCAAUAAGCCACGGACUUAAAAAUCCGAUCUGUGGAUUCAUGGGGGUGGCCCCGGUGUUCUGAGGCAGGGAAUGGGUUUCAAGGGUGCAGUGUGGCCAGAUCUUUGCUAAAAUAUGGUCUCAUUCUGGACGCUUGGACGGCAUUUCCCCUUCGUCUUGUCAUGGUUUUUAAUAAUGAGUGAGCUGCAGAAGUAGGGGAAUUUUUUUUC